AUGUCCUUGCAAGCCAUGGUGGGGCAGAGGUUGGGAAGAUGGUGUGGUGAGGCUGGGCAGAGAGGUUUGGGAAGCGACCAGGCGUAGGCUCUGCCAGUAGACGGUCACAGCUAACAGCUCACUGUGGCCCUAGCCCCGCUAUGGCUGCUCAGACACAGGUUUAAAAUCUUUAUUCGGCAAAAAUGUGGAUUCAGAAAAGCACCCAGGAAGGCUGAGCCUCGAACAUCAGACACAGGCACAAGUGGUGAAGCAUACAACACAAGUGCGUUGAUUCCUUUUAGCCAGACGAAAGAAACAGUCUGUUACCUUUCUCUGUAUCCUACAGGGACUCUCAUAAAACCUUUAUUUUUUACUGUUGGGUUUACAGGCUGUUUGGAUCUAUUUGGCAAUACGAAUCACUGAAAUCCAGGGUCUAGAGUUAUUUUGAUGAUAUACAAGUUGACUGGUUGGACAGCGUAAGACCACAAAAAGGAGACUUCAGAAAGGAGAUAAACAAGUGGUGGAAUAACCUAAGUGAUGGCCAGCAGACUAAGACAGGUUAUCACAGCUGCAAAUGAAUGUCUUUGUAUUCUGUUUAUAGGAGCACCUUCUCUACAGUGGACAAUGAUCAGAUAUUUCGCAUCUAAUCCAGCCUCAGAAGUCCUUUGUUCUCCAACGGUGCUGUCAAUAUUCAGUCAUUUCUCCUUAUUUCACAUGGCACCGAAUAUGUAUGUUUUGUGGAGUUCCUUCUCUGACACAGUGAACAUUCUGGGUCAAGAGUAGUCCAUGGCAGUGUACCUAUCUGCAGGUGUUAUUUCCAAAUGUGUCAAUUAUGUGUGUAAAGUUGCCACAGGAAGAUAUGGACCAUCACUUGAUGCAUCUGGCACCAUCAUGACGGUCCUUGCAGCUGUCUGCACUAAGAUCCCAGAAGGGAGGCUUGCCAUUAUUUCCCUUCAGAUGUUCAUAUUCCCAGCAGGGAAUGCCCUAAAAGGUACUAUCGCCAUGGAUACAGUAGGAAUGAUCCUGGGAUAGAAAUUCUUUAAUCAUGCAGCACAUCUUGGGGGAGCUCUCUUUGGAAUACAGUAUGUUACUUUACAUCAUAAACUGUUUUGGAAGAACAGGGAGCCUCUAGUGAAAAUCUGGCAUGAAAUGAGAACGAAUAGUCCAAAAAAGGAGGUGGCUCUAGGUAAAACUAGGAUUGGACAGUACUGGUACAUCUGGUCCACGACAUCUGAGAGCCACAGGAGUACAUCAGCCCUAGAAUGACCAUGGCUGUGCUCCCACUUGGACGACACCAGCAUCUGGCCUCCCAGGGUUUUCAGUUGUGUCCCCCAGCCUGUGUCUUUUUGGAAAGUGAACUAUGACAAAGUUGUAAAAUAAAGGUUUAUAUCUAGUU